AAGAAAUGCUGAAUGGCAUGCUUAAGAAACUGGUUGUAGUCUAAGUCAUGUUCUCUACUGCUUCAGGGUGGAGAGCCUUCUUAUGACAUUCUUGAGGGUCAAACGCUGUGGUGCCCAGCACAUCAGAAGGACACUACCCACAAACAAUGUGCUUGAGGACAGACCUUGUAGGGAUGCUAUGAACUGGUUGGAGGACAUGAUUCCUUUUACAAUGAAAGUGUGAAAAGACUGUCUUACCGAGAUGGCAUGUGGACAUUGAUGGAAAUCGCCUUGUUUGUAGGCAAAAAACAACUCAAAACAAAACCAAAUAAACAAACAGAAAUAACAACAGCAAAGAAAGUACAGUCUGAGCAAGAGAAGAGAAAGUCCGCAGGACAGGACAGCAAUGUAAACAGAACAAUACUGUUUUUAAAAAAGGAGGAAUAUGAACUUCAGCAAGCUGAAAGGAACUCUCAUGAUCACCUUCUAGAAUGAUCGAAAUGACCUGCCAGUUCAAAGUCACCCCGACGUGUCCCGUGGGACGAGAACUAAAUACUGACAGCAAGAAAACCAGCUUUGACUCGGAGGCGAGUGUCCCCCCAGCCCGAGUGCUGGGCAGGCCGCUGUUCCUUUCAGCUCACUUUCACAGAUGGUAGUCUCAGCUGUGACAGGACCUCUGCCAUCCAAGUGAUGGGUAAGCAGGCAAACAGAAAGAGCAGCAUGUCCUGCGUGAUACAGACAACCAAGGCUUCUCCAGAGGAUGUGCAGUCAGUGAAGACACAGACAGAGAAGAAGUGAAAGGGAAAGUCGUGGAGGGCGGCCGCCUCCUCCUCACCACCUACCAUCGGCUUUAGCUCUCGGGCGUCCGCAGCGCCUCCUUUGCCGGCUUCUUUCAUUGCUUUCCUACUGUUUUCCACAAACUCCUGCAAAACAUGGAGUGCACGGCAUUAACUGGGGAUCUUCUUAGGUUUCAGUCAGUAGGUGAACUUUAAGGAUCCAACCUUAGUGUGGUCAACAGUACUCUGAAGGAAGAUUGGCUGGGAUGGAUUGCAAUCCGUAGAUAUAAAACCUUCCUUCCAUCACCCACUCUGACACUCUCAUUAUGGCUGUAGGAGAGAAUUCUAUUCAAUGUUUUUUAAGAGUCUGCUUUUCCCCAGGCUGGGGAUAUCAUUUUCCUUUGUUUCAUUUUCCAUAUCAAGGCUAAGUGAUCCAAAACCAGUUUGUUUCAAACGCUUCUAGUUUGUAUUAUAUUUUUAAUAUUUAAAAAAAAUUUUAGACAGGAUUUUACUAUGUAGAUCUUGAAGGCUUGCCACUCACUAUAUGUCCCAGCUAGCUUUACACUUGUGGCAAUUUUCAUGCACCAGCCUUGGAUAUCAGCCUGUACCUAACAACAAAGACCCAGAAAAAAGUACCCGUCAAAAAAACCCAAACCCAAACCACAUGUCAGCUACCUUAAAAUAUUUAUCUAGCUUCAAAGUUUCCUCCUUCAUAGCACCUAUAUCCUGCUCUACAUAUUAUUCAGCAAAGUAGAAAUUUGGAAAUCUGGAACUGGUGAUCAGAAGUGGUUAGAGCAGGAGGCAGCCCCCAGGGGCCUGCGCUGCUCUACCUGAGCUCCAGAGAACUUCCUCCCGGCCGUCUAACAGAGCAUAGUCCCCACCUCCCAUCCCAACACCACAGAGGCUGAGGCAGGAAGAGCGAGGUCAAGUUCAAGGUCAGCAUGGGCUACACAGUGACAGUUUAUCUAUUUUUUUAAAAAGUACAUGUGAUCAGUCAGGGUGUUAAAAAAUGGAAAUUUCUCCUCAAACUGCUCUACAGUCACAAAAAACUGAAAUAAAGAUUCAAUUCCAGAUGAACCCAACCAGACAGAAUUCAUCUAGGACUUGUGAAAGCAUCCAAAAUUUAGGUGAUGAUGCUAUCAGAGACAGUAUCAAACAGGAAGACCUACCUCAAUUUCUCCAAGAUAAACUUCAUUCAUGAUUCAGUACUACAAUUUUAACACUGUGUCACUUUGUGGGAAUUAACCUCGAAGAGUAUUUUGGAAACACUGUGGCCGACAUUUGAAGUACUUACCAUCAG